GGCGCCUUGGCAGAUCGGUUAUGCAGGAGCCUGCAAAGCUCUGUAGAGCGGUUCAACUCCGCUAGGUGCCUCCA
rnacentral:tRNA from 1 species